GAUGAACGCUGGCGGCGUGCCUAAUACAUGCAAGUCGAGCGAACAGAUGAGGAGCUUGCUCCUCUGACGUUAGCGGCGGACGGGUGAGUAACACGUGGAUAACCUACCUAUAAGACUGGGAUAACUUCGGGAAACCGGAGCUAAUACCGGAUAAUAUAUUGAACCGCAUGGUUCAAUAGUGAAAGACGGUUUUGCUGUCACUUAUAGAUGGAUCCGCGCCGCUUUAGCUAGUUGGUAAGGUAACGGCUUCCAAGGCAACGAUGCGUAGCCGACCUGAGAGGGUGAUCGGCCACACUGGAACUGAGACACGGUCCAGACUCCUACGGGAGGCAGCAGUAGGGAAUCUUCCGCAAUGGGCGAAAGCCUGACGGAGCAACGCCGCGUGAGUGAUGAAGGUCUUCGGAUCGUAAAACUCUGUUAUUAGGGAAGAACAAAUGUGUAAGUAACUAUGCACGUCUUGACGGUACCUAAUCAGAAAGCCACGGCUAACUACGUG
rnacentral:rRNA from 1 species